AUUUUAAUGUUUAAACUCUUUUUUAUUUACAUUGAAGAUGUAAUUUUUAUUAGAGUA
rnacentral:tRNA from 1 species